UGAAGAUCCGGCGCAGCUAAAGUCAGUGGAAGGUAGAAAGACGCCACAGCCGCCUUUCGACAACUUUUUGUUACAAAAGUGGAGAUCUACACGGAGGCGACGGCCUAGGUCGCUCUGACAGGACCCAACGACCCUCCUGACGCGUCCACCCGUCCUCGCUAGCAGGGUCCCCCAGCGGGCUCUCGACCUGCGCCACCAGAGUUCCACUCUUUUUGUCGACAAUAAUAUGGCGCCCAAACACGUGGGGCCUCAGAGAAGACUCUGGAUCCGGAAGGAGUAUCCCAAAACCAGAGCUAAGGUACCAGCUGGAGCCCACUGAAGCCUCACCGAGUUUGGGCUUCUCCUCCUGUGGAACUGGAAACCAAAAUCAUGGUAUUUUGAAAACCAGAGGUAUGAAUCUCCCUCGUUUGGCAUCCCACUGGGCCUGGACCUGUUUCACUGCUAAUGUUCUGCUGCCAAAACUAUACAAGCUGCCUGGACUAUUGCAGAAGAGAGACAGAGUCUUGCUCUGUUGCCCAGAAUGGAAUGCAGUAGCACAAUCCUAACUAAUCGUAACCUUGAACUCCUGGGUUCAAGCGAUCCUCCUGCCUCAGCCUCCUCAGUAUAGGACUACAGGCGUGCCCAGGAUCUUUUAAAAUUCUUACAAAGGAUUAAGAGUUUUG
rnacentral:lncRNA from 1 species